rnacentral:tRNA from 1 species
GGGGUUGUGGCUCAGUGGUAGAGUGCAUGUCUGGCAUGCGUGAGGCCGGGGGUUCGAUCUUCAGCACCA